rnacentral:rRNA from 1 species
CAAUCACUUGUCCUUUAAAUGAAGACCUGUAUGAAUGGCUAGACGAGGGCUUAGCUGUCUCCUCCCCUCGGUCAAUGAAAUUGAUCUCCCCGUGCAGAAGCGGGGAUACUUACAUAAGACGAGAAGACCCUAUGGAGCUUUAGACACUAGACAGCCCACGUUAAGCUUCCCCCUAAAAAGGAAAAAACAUUGUGACUCCUGUCUCUCCUGUCUUCGGUUGGGGCGACCGCGGAGGAUAAAAGAGCCUCCAUGUGGACCGAGGUUACGAACCUCACAACUAAGAGCUGCAGCUCCAAGCAACAGAAAUUCUGACCAAAAUGAUCCGGCAUAAUGCCGAUUAACGGAACAAGUUACCCUAGGGAUAACAGCGCAAUCCUCUCCCAGAGUCCC